rnacentral:rRNA from 1 species
GGUUAAGCGACUAAGCGUACACGGUGGAUGCCUAGGCAAUCAGAGGCGAUGAAGGACGUGCUAAUCUGCGAUAAGCGUCGGUAAGGUGAUAUGAACCGUUACAACCGACGAUUUCCGAAUGGGGAAACCCAGUGCAAUUCGUUGCACUAUCGUUUGAUGAAUACAUAGUCAAACGAAGCGAACCGGGGGAACUGAAACAUCUCAGUACCCCGAGGAAAAGAAAUCAACCGAGAUUCCCCUAGUAGCGGCGAGCGAACGGGGAGCAGCCCAGAGUCUUAAUCAGCAUUAGCAUCAGGAGAACGGUCUGGAAAGUCCGGCAGUAAAGGGUGAUAGCCCCGUAUCCGAAGGUGUUAGUGUUGUGAACUCGACGAGUAGGGCGGGACACGUGUUAUCCUGUCUGAAUAUGGGGGGACCAUCCUCCAAGGCUAAAUACUCCUGAUUGACCGAUAGUGAACCAGUACCGUGAGGGAAAGGCGAAAAGAACCCCGGCGAGGGGAGUGAAAUAGAACCUGAAACCGUGUACGUACAAGCAGUGGGAGCCCCACCACCAAAGCAUUUUCUGGUGUUGAGGACAACUUUGAAGUGGCAUUCAACACGCGUUGACGGAGCGCUUUUUGCGACGUCCAACACACAAAACAAGCAGUGAAUGUGCUUUGGGGUGGGGUGACUGCGUACCUUUUGUAUAAUGGGUCAGCGACUUAUAUUCUGUAGCAAGGUUAACCGUAUAGGGGAGCCGUAGGGAAACCGAGUCUUAACUGGGCGAAUGAGUUGCAGGGUAUAGACCCGAAACCCGGUGAUCUAGCCAUGGGCAGGUUGAAGGUUGGGUAACACUAACUGGAGGACCGAACCGACUAAUGUUGAAAAAUUAGCGGAUGACUUGUGGCUGGGGGUGAAAGGCCAAUCAAACCGGGAGAUAGCUGGUUCUCCCCGAAAGCUAUUUAGGUAGCGCCUCGUGAACUCAUCUUCGGGGGUAGAGCACUGUUUCGACUAGGGGGUCAUCCCGACUUACCAACUCGAUGCAAACUACGAAUACCGAAGAAUGUUAUCACGGGAGACACACGGCGGGUGCUAACGUUCGUCGUGAAGAGGGAAACAACCCAGACCGCCAGCUAAGGUCCCAAAGUCAUAGUUAAGUGGGAAACGAAGUGGGAAGGCUCAGACAGCCAGGAUGUUGGCUUAGAAGCAGCCAUCAUUUAAAGAAAGCGUAAUAGCUCACUGGUCGAGUCGGCCUGCGCGGAAGAUGUAACGGGGCUAAACUAUGCACCGAAGCUGCGGCAGCGAUAUUUAGAUAUUGUUGGGUAGGGGAGCGUUCUGUAAGCCUGUGAAGGUGUACUGUGAGGUAUGCUGGAGGUAUCAGAAGUGCGAAUGCUGACAUAAGUAACGAUAAUGCGGGUGAAAAACCCGCACGCCGGAAGACCAAGGGUUCCUGUCCAACGUUAAUCGGGGCAGGGUGAGUCGACCCCUAAGGCGAGGCAGAAAUGCGUAGUCGAUGGGAAACGGGUUAAUAUUCCCGUACUGGUGAUAAUUGCGAUGGGGGGACGGAGAAGGCUAGGCUAUCCGGGCGACGGUUGUCCCGGUUUAAGAAUGUAGGCAGGUGAAUUAGGCAAAUCCGGUUCACUACAUGCUGAGGUUCGAUGACGAGUCACUACGGUGAUGAAGUAGCUCAUGCCCCGCUUCCAGGAAAAGCCUCUAAGCUCUAGAUUAUCAUUAAUCGUACCCCAAACCGACACAGGUGGUCAGGUAGAGAAUACUCAGGCGCUUGAGAGAACUCGGGUGAAGGAACUAGGCAAAAUGGUGCCGUAACUUCGGGAGAAGGCACGCUGGCGCUAGGUGAAGUCCCUUGCGGAUGGAGCUGAAGCCAGUCGCAGAUACCAGCUGGCUGCAACUGUUUAUUAAAAACACAGCACUGUGCAAACACGAAAGUGGACGUAUACGGUGUGACGCCUGCCCGGUGCUGGAAGGUUAAUUGAUGGGGUUAUCCGUAAGGAGAAGCUCUUGAUCGAAGCCCCAGUAAACGGCGGCCGUAACUAUAACGGUCCUAAGGUAGCGAAAUUCCUUGUCGGGUAAGUUCCGACCUGCACGAAUGGCGUAAUGAUGGCCAGGCUGUCUCCACCCGAGACUCAGUGAAAUUGAACUCGCUGUGAAGAUGCAGUGUACCCGCGGCAAGACGGAAAGACCCCGUGAACCUUUACUAUAGCUUGACACUGAACAUUGAGCCUUGAUGUGUAGGAUAGGUGGGAGGCUUCGAAGCGUGGACGCCAGUCUGCGUGGAGCCAACCUUGAAAUACCACCCUUUAAUGUUUGAUGUUCUAACGUUGCCCCGUUAUCCGGGGUGCGGACAGUGUCUGGUGGGUAGUUUGACUGGGGCGGUCUCCUCCCAAAGAGUAACGGAGGAGCACGAAGGUUGGCUAAGCAUGGUCGGACAUCAUGCGGUUAGUGCAAAGGCAUAAGCCAGCUUGACUGCGAGAGUGACGGCUCGAGCAGGUACGAAAGUAGGUCUUAGUGAUCCGGUGGUUCUGAAUGGAAGGGCCAUCGCUCAACGGAUAAAAGGUACUCCGGGGAUAACAGGCUGAUACCGCCCAAGAGUUCAUAUCGACGGCGGUGUUUGGCACCUCGAUGUCGGCUCAUCACAUCCUGGGGCUGAAGUAGGUCCCAAGGGUACGGCUGUUCGCCGUUUAAAGUGGUACGCGAGCUGGGUUUAGAACGUCGUGAGACAGUUCGGUCCCUAUCUGCCGUGGGCGUUGGAAGAUUGAAAGGGGCUGCUCCUAGUACGAGAGGACCGGAGUGGACGCACCACUGGUGUUCGGGUUGUCAUGCCAAUGGCAUUGCCCGGUAGCUAAGUGCGGAAGAGAUAACCGCUGAAAGCAUCUAAGCGGGAAACUUGCCUUGAGAUGAGUCUUCCCUGACCCUUUAAGGGUCCUAAAGGAACGUUUAAGACUAAGACGUUGAUAGGUUGGGUGUGUAAGCAUAGCGAUAUGUUGAGCUAACCAAUACUAAUGAACCGUGAGGCUUAACCUG